GCACAAGGAGAAAUUUUCACAAAAGCAGACAAGGCUUUCCGCUGUCCAGAUUGAAUCACUCACACAUACGAAGCUUUCUUUGAUUCCUUUCAAGAUCUUUUAUACGUCACAUGGAGGAUCGUAAGGAGAAAAAUGCACCAUGGCUUUCAGUACCACAGUUUGGUAAUUGGGAUCAGAAGGGUGAAUUGCCAGAUUACUCACUGGAUUUCUCGAAAGUCAGAGAAAUGAGGAAGCAGAACAAGAGGGAUGUGUCAAGAGCCAGUCUUGGCAAUGAAGAAGACUUCAUUAACCCAACAGCCACCAAUGCGCAGGCUGCCCAUAUUAAUCACCACCACCACGAUCAUUACCACCGAAGCCGCCGCCACCACUCCCCUAAUGUAAGAUUCUUUGUCCACCUUUAUUUAGAAAGCUUUAUUGAAGAUUAUAUAUGCUAGUAUAGCCGCAAUUAUGCUAAUGAAAUAGAGAGAAUAACAUAAUAAACAACAUGAAUGGUAGCGGCAUUCAUGUGAUAGAAUGGUGGGGAAAUUGCUUGGUUUUGUUCAUUAAACUUGGUGGGUCAAUAUUUUAGGCCAGUAGGUAGCAUGUAUUUAACAGCAUAGCGAUAUGGCCUUUAAUGAAGCUUAGCCACAAAAGAUAAAUAUAAAAGCAAAGUCCACCUGGAAUAGGAUCUCCACCUCAAAAAAAAAGGGAUAAAACUUGGGACGGUCUACCAACUUGUUGCAUUGGGACCAUUUUAGCAGAGGAAGAUCACUUGUUAUUUAAUUCAUUUAAUUGAAUGUAUUAUAUUAAAAUCCAUAAACAAACACUUCUUUGUGGUGUCCAAAAACGGCACAAUAAAGUAUAAACUCAAUAAUAUCCAAUUGUUGAUAGCUAAUAAUAUAAAUUUUACUUUUUAUAUACUUGCAUCAUAUAUGAUUCAUAGUUUUAAAUUUUUAAGGUGAGUUAAAGAGCAUUUAAGAUUUAGAAAGUGGAGAACAGCAAGCAUAUUAUUUAUUUCUAGUUGCAAGUGCAAACAAGUUGCAGUGUACAUUUUUCAUAGGAGAUCAACCAUACUAGGAUUUGAACAGCUGAGUGGUCAAGACAAUUGUCUUACGUGAUUCUAGAUGCUUAAUGCCUGAUCAGAUUUGAGGUCGAUGAUUGGUACCUACAUAAAUCAAUAUGUUAGUAAGGUACUUUUAAUUUACUGCCGUUAUAGAAAUAUGUGCCCGCAGAGGUAAAGUUGAGGUUGAUCUUCUACAUACCUAGGUAGCAUGCUACUGCAAGCGUUGCACAUGAAACAGAAGCUUUGGGCCACUCAAUAUGGGGUCGUUGACACUUUGUUCUUUUGGAUUUUGUCAAGCUUUGUAAGGGAUGCUUUUCAUAUCUGAAUAGUAGCAUACGAGAUUAGUUAACUGGUUAAUUGAUCACAUAUAUGUAUUUAGGUGAUAUACCAGCCAAAGAAAUGUAUUAUUUUUUGAGUUGCUGAAAUAUGUGGAGACAAAAAGAAUCCCUUUAGCUGGAAUGCUUGCAAACCAUAUCAAGUAUGCAAAAUCAUCAUAAAAAAUAAUUUGAAGAUUAUAUUUGGUGAUUUACUUGUUGAAGCUCAAUCAUAAUCCAGUAUAUGUUUGAUAACUUUAUAUUCUUAAGCAGACAAGGCGGAGCAUUUUCAGCUACUUCAACUGCUGUGUUAAAGCCUGAUGU
rnacentral:misc_RNA from 1 species